rnacentral:ncRNA from 1 species
ACAAUGGAGAGUUUGAUCCUGGCUCAGGAUGAACGCUAGCGGCAGGCCUAAUACAUGCAAGUCGUACGGGAUUCAAUCUUUCGGGAUUGAUGAGAGUGGCGCACGGGUGCGUAACGCGUAUGCAACCUACCUUUCACAGGGGGAUAGCUCCCGGAAACGGGAAUUAAUACCCCAUGGUAUAUAUUCACUGCAUGGUGGAUAUAUUAAAGAUUCGUCGGUGAAAGACGGGCAUGCGUAGGAUUAGCUAGUUGGUGGGGUAACGGC